UACGUAGGGUGCUAGCGUUAAUCGGAAUUACUGGGCGUAAAGCGCACGCAGGUGGCUGAGUCAGUCGAUUGUGAAAGCCCUGGGCUUAACCUAGGAAUUGCAGUCGAUACUACUCGGCUAGAGUAUGGGAGAGGGCAGUGGAAUUCCCGGUGUAGCGGUGAAAUGCGUAGAUAUCGGGAGGAACAUCAGUGGCGAAGGCGGCGGCCUGGCCCAAUACUGACACUCAGGUGCGACAGCGUGGGGAGCAAACAGG
rnacentral:rRNA from 1 species